UACGUAGGGGGCUAGCGUUGUCCGGAUUUAUUGGGCGUAAAGAGCGUGUAGGCGGCCAGAUAGGUCCGUUGUGAAAACUGGAGGCUUAACCUCCAGCUGUCGAUGGAAACCAUCUGGCUAGAGUCCGGAAGAGGCGAGUGGAAUUCCUGGUGUAGCGGUGGAAUGCGCAGAUAUCAGGAGGAACACCAAUGGCGAAGGCAGCUCGCUGGGACGGUACUGACGCUGGGGCGCGAAAGCGUGGGGAGCAAACAGGG
rnacentral:rRNA from 1 species